CUCGCUUCGAUCACGUGACAGUAUAAGAUUCCGUAUUUCUUCAGAGACUCCGCCAUGUGAACCGCUAACGCUUGUGGGUUUUGUAAUGAUCCACCGUAAUCGUCAGUUCUGUCUGUCUUUCAUGAAAUGGUCGAUAAGAUAGCCAUAAGCUCCAUGGAUCUCUACUCCUUUGAAGCCUGCAAGCAACAACAACAUUCAAGGACACGUAUAUAAUUUUCACCAAUGGGUGUGAUUACCAGUUGACCAAAAAUAAAAAAGCGUGCUUACCAGCUUCCAUAGCGUUCCUUGCUGCAAGCCUGAAAUGGUUGACAAUGGUGGGGAUCUCUUCUGUACUUAGGCGUCUUGGAGGGGUAAACAUGGCUUCAUCGAUGGCAUUAGAGCGGAUCUGAGGCAUCAAUGGCUUGUCCGUACAGGAGAUGGGAGCUUGCCCAUUUGGCUGAAAACCUCUGUUAGAAACUCUGCCAACAUGCCAGAUCUGACAGAAGAUGAUGCCGCCUUUGUCGUGAACAGCAUCCACGAUUGGCUUCCAUGCCUUCACAUGCUCUUUAGUCCUAUUCCAGGUGUAUCUUGAUACCUUCAAGAGCAGGAAACCACACAAACGUGGGUCAGAUCAUAACCCACAAACAAAAAUCACAAACUUUAUAUCGAAGUGAGUAGAUAUAGAAGAAUAUAUUAACAAAUUUUUGAAUAACU